ensembl:lncRNA
GUGGAAUUGUUCACUCCUUUCCUCAUCGGGAGCAAAAAAGAAAAUCUCUUUCCUUGUUUCAUUUUCAUUUUGAGCUCUAGAAAUGCAAUUUUUUGCUGAGUGAAAAUUUUUUAUCUGAAUGGUUACCGAUUUUGAUCUAAUUUAGUUUCCCUCAGAGGAAUGCAACAGGGCUGUACUGCAUUGGAAUAAGAGCACUUAACAGCAUUCCCUGUGGACGAUACACCUGCUGACAGAGUGAAUGAAAGAUUUCAGCAUUGUCGAGCGAAGACACCGAAGGCUGUGAGAUCUCAACUGGAAAUAAACAGAUAAACAUUGUGAGGAUUUUAAGCAACCAAGGAGAGGAGCAGAAAGUUGGUCCGAGCGGAAGCACGGUGUUAGCAUCAUGAGGUAAACGACGGCGGAUCCCGAAGCCCAGCAGGACCUUUAUCCAAGGAAAUAAGACAUUUCCGGCAACAAAUUGAUGGGUAUGGAAAACCCAACAUUAAACAAGGGCCCCCUACCCUGUCAGUCAUGGAUGAGCCAGAAUGGCUGGUCCACAACUUCAACGCCAGGACCUGUGAUCAACUCAGUGGCCAGCUCUCAGCAUUUCAGCUUGGGCUCGUCUUCUCAACAGCGACCCUCCUACGACCACCUCCAGGCGUCCAAUCAAAACAGUUUGAGCGACCUCAGCACCCUGACAUCCACAAAUGGCACUCAUCACUCUGUCCUGCACAAAGCCUCUCAGAUUAGCAACGACCUCUCUUCGAAUACAUUAUUUGCUGACACUUCUGUACCAAGUGCCUCUCCCUUUAUUUCCUGCGCUCAGCAAAGCAUUCAGACCUUGCAGGCGCUGCUGACUGCAAACCAACAAAACGCUAUCCCUCCACAGUCUCUUCCCCAAACAAAUCAAGCAGUACAGAAUACCAGCCCCCAAAAUUUGCCCCCUCUCUCAACCCACGACCCUUACAAAGCAUCAUUUCGACCUCCGCCAACCAAUCAGGGUUUACCAAGUGGACUCCAAGAUCUGCCUGUGAGCCUAACGUCUUGUGGACAAGGUGUAAGUACUUCUCAAGAUACUCUGGGAGGAACAAAUGUGGAAUCUACUGGCAUUGCUGGAUACAGCCACAGCUAUGGCCCCUCCACCUCUCAGGAGCAGCCUCAGUGGGUACCUUCAUUGCACUGCAUGGGAGCCACAAUCAAGCCCGAUUCUGAUUCAGCUAUUCAUCCAAACAAUGAGCCAUCGCAGGAGAACGUUCUGUCUCAGGGCAACGACGAGAUAUGGCGUUCAGUGCUUUUAAAUCACCGUGCCCAACUACUUAAACAACUAGCAGAGUUGGAUAAACUGCUGGCAUCCAUCCCUCCAGGUGAUAGCAGUGAUGUGCAGUCUCUAGCUACAGCUAUUCAGUCACCUCCUUCAAUGGAUGAGUCAUCUCACUGUGAACCAACUAAGAGCAGCAGCACGGGCCAAGUUCAGCUGACGGCAGAAAAAUCAACGACACAGUCAAGCCAUUCAGAAGAUGGUUUAUCAACUGCAGCCUGUGAUGAACAUGAUGAGACCUGUGAUAUGACAGAGGAGCCAAUGUCUGAGGGAGAAUCAGAGAAAAUGCAACAUACCUCAGCCGAAUCAGGGGAUGACACUGAUCCGGAUUACAUACCUAUGAGUGAUGGUGACCUUUCUUGUGAUCUCCAGUCUGACCGCGACUCAUCAGAUGAAUCUAUUCACAGCUGUUCCUCAACCCGCACCGAUGAAAAACCUCCUCUCACAUUGAAAAAAAAGGCUAGAUUACAAAGUACUUCCUCUAAAGACGAACGCACAAAAAAGUCCCCUGGAGCUGCAGUGUUGGCAACCUCCAAUUCCAAGAAACACCGUGUUUACGACAAGAGGAAUUACUGUUUGUUUUGCUCUAAGCCACUAGCCAAAAUGUCACGGCAUCUAGAGAGAGUCCACAGUGACAAAAUAGAGGUUGCAGUGGCAUUUCAAUAUCCUGUGAAUUCCAAAGAAAGACAUAAGAUCUGGAGCAAACUCAUAAAUCAAGGAAACUUUGUGCAUAAUAAACAAGUUAUGAAAACAGGGAAGGGACAACUUGUCGUCCGAAAAAGGUCAUACAUAACUGGAGAAGCCAAAGACUUCCUUCAUUGUCUUUAUUGUCGUGGCCUUUAUUUGAAGAAAAAUUUGUACAGGCACAUUAGGCUGUGCCCAGAGAAAGCAAAGACUGAAAAUGAAUCGCAGAUAGGCAGAAAGCGCAUCGCAUCGCGGUGUGCGCUUGAAACUUUAGGAGAUCUUGGUGUAAGUGAAGGGUUUCGUACCGUUCUGUGUGAAAUGAUAUAUGAUGACAUUACACAAACUGUCAUGGAUGACAAGAUUAUCUUGCAGUUUGGAGAGCAUAUGUAUAUCCAGCAAGGAUCUGAUGCGAGGAAGCACGAGUACAUCAGACAAAACGUUCGUCAGAUAGCGAGACUGGUGCUUGAAGCUCAAAAAAUCACUCCUCUGAACAACCUGCAGGACUUCUUCAACCCUUCAGGCUUCCAACAUGCUGUGUCGGCAGUGAAAGUCUUAGCAGGCUAUAACCCAGAAAAAAAAACAUUCAGUAUUCCUUCACUUGCUCUCAAGCUCGGCUACCACCUACAGAAGGCCUGCAGUAUUGUUGAGGACAAUGCGGUGAAGUCUGGUGACGAAAGUCUGGCAGAGUCCGCACGAAACUUUCUCUCUCUGUACCAGAAGAAAUGGAAUGAGCACAUUUCUUCUGGCGCAUUAACGUCUCUCAAAGAAACAAAAGUGAUCACAGCGAAAAAGGUGCCAUUCGCUCAAGAUGUGAAGUGCCUGAAUUUCCACUUGGAGAAGGCUCAUGUUCUUGCUGAAAAAAAACUUAGAGACAACCCUUCUGUGGAAACGUACGCGGUUCUGGCCAAGGUGAUAUUGGCCCGGACCAUCAUUUUCAACAGGAGAAAACCUGGAGAGGUAUCAGCCAUUAAGCUAAAGAGUUUUAUGCAACGGAAAAUGUCAAACGUGCUCGAUGGCAUGGACAUAUCUGUAUCAGAUCUGGAAAGAGCAAUGUGUAGGCUGUUCGCCAGAGUUGACAUAAGAGGGAGCUGUGGGAGAUUAGUGCCCGUUAUACUGAAACCCUCGUUCGUCUCAGCUAUGGAGCUCCUUGUUGAGGUCCGAGAGACAUGCGGCAUCCCCAGUAAGAACCCCUUUCUCUUCGCCCGACCAAGCGCACUCACUCCCUACAAAGGUUCAGAGUGUGUCCAACAUUAUGUCAGAGAAUGUGGAGCCCAAAGUCCUGAGGCACUGACAUCAAGAAAGAUCAGGAAACAUUAUGCAACUAUGUUACAGAUGUUGAACCUGGACGAAGAAGAGGCCAACCAAAUAUUGGGCCCUAAUAAUCAAGUCCACACCCUGCAACAGAUCAAUGACAUGCAGAUGGAUGGUGUUCAGAUUAACUCUGAAGUGAAAUUGCAACAGGCUGCAUCUUGGCGUCACACAGAGGUCUCUGGUUCUAGAUGCCAACAAGAUUUUAUUCAACAACAGCAUGGCGUGACAGCAGCCACCAAUUCGAUUGUUUCUCUGAAUUCUGUCAACUCGAACAGCAAAGGCUCUCAAAAUAAGGGCAAACAAAAAUGGGUGGGAGCAGAAGUUCACGCUGUCGAAAGACACAUGAUGCGUUUCAUUCGAGGACACAAGGUGCCUCAGAAAAACGAUUGCAUCCAGUGUCUCGAGGCUGAGCCAAAAGCACUGAGGGCCAGAUCGUGGAAGGGUGUGAAGGACUACGUCAGAAACAGGAUAACUGCCCUAAAAAGACAAAGUGGCACAUCCACAAACCUGAACAGGCCUGGGCAGGCGGAACCACAGAAGAGCGCUGAACGUUUUCAGCAGUUGUAG